GUGGGUAUAGCUCAGUUGGUUAGAGCGCCAGGUUGUGGCCCUGGAGGUCAUGGGUUCGACUCCCACUACUCACCCCA
rnacentral:tRNA from 2 species